rnacentral:antisense_RNA from 1 species
AGUCUCCCUGGAAUAAAGCAGCCAAGGCAGGCUAAUGGUGAAGGCCCAGGCACAGUAAUGGUCCCCUGGAGAUGGAGUCCUGCUCUGUCACCCAUGCUGGAAUGCAGUGGCGUGACUCCAGUGGAAUGCAGUGGGUUCCAGUGAUUCUCCUGCCUCAGCCUCCCAAGUAGCUGGGAUUAUAAGUGUGCACCAUCACACCGUGCUAAUUUUUGUAUUUUUAGUAGAGACAGGGUUUCACGAUGUUGGCCAGG